rnacentral:rRNA from 1 species
UACAUGGGGUGCAAACGUUGCUCGGAAUCAUUGGGUGUAAAGCGCGCGUAGGCGGUUACUUAAGUUGGAUGUGAAAGCCCUCGGCUUAACUGAGGAAGUGCAUCCAAAACUGAGUAGCUAGAGUACGAAAGAGGGUCGCGGAAUUCCCGGUGUAGAGGUGAAAUUCGUAGAUAUCGGGAGGAACACCGGUGGCGAAGGCGGCGACCUGGGUCGAGACUGACGCUGAGGCGCGAAAGCGUGGGGAGCAAACAGG